CUACUCUCCGUGCGAUCCCUCUCCGCACCGUCAAUCACGCAGCUGGUGCUCGAUCCCCGCGCGAUCCUUUUCCCCACGCCAUCGUCCGACCCCUCUCCUCCCCGCGAUCCUUUCUUCCCAGCACUCCUUCCUCUCCGCGCCGUCAAUCACGCACCAACGCUCCUUCCACCGCGCGACCCUUCCUUCGAUAAAAGGUGGAAGGCUCCCAAUCCAAAUCUCCGUUGCAAAUCCCAUCGGGUGCCGCUCUCGCCAUCUCCCACCAGCCGCACUCUUCCUCAUGCGUGGCACACUUGGCCAUCCUCCGCCAUCACCAUUGCCCACCACCCUCACCCUUGCCCUCGCACGAAUCCGGCUGCUACUCGCGCGCGAUUUUGGUUUUGGAGCAAAAAUUCCAUCCCGGCCACCAUAUAUGCCUUCUCAUGUGUCUUCUUCAACCCCAAUCCACCCCUGUGUUCACCCAAGAUGUCGACGAUGGAGAGCAAGGCAGUGGCUUUGGCUAGGAAGAAGAAGGGCACGACUGUGACGACGAUAGCCAUCACUAGCAGUAGCCAUCACCAUGCCGCCAUAGCACCUAUUCCCAUUGGUUGACGCGGCGGCGGCAACAGCUCCCUCAGCCGGCUUCGGCACAACUACCUUGACUUCCUCCCAGGCCGGAUUUCGCGCAGCGGCGGCGGCAGCGGCUUCCUCCUAGGCCAGAUUUGGUGUGGCGGCGACGGCGGCUUCCUCCCAGACCGGAUUUGGUGCGGCGGCGGCGGCGGCUUCCACCAUGGCUGGAUUUGGCACGGCAACAGCUGAUUCGUCCCCGAUCUAUGGCAGAAGCUUCACCAGUGCUUCUCCUGUUUGGUGGGAUGCAGCCGACGGGGGAUCUCCAAUUUCUCCCGCAUUUCAGCAUCCAGCAAGUUGGGAUCGAUGCAUGACUUCAACCAAACGGCAACAGGAUGGUGUAUGGUAAUCAGGACUAAUACUGUGAGUCCGAUGGCGGCGAUGAUCACCAUCUCUGUACCUGUCCUGUUCAUAUCGCUCCCUACUUCUGCUCCGGCUUCGCCUUCUAUAGUCUCUGUCCUGAUAAUCCUCUCGAUACCUUCACAAAUGGCUAGCACUCAUAUUAAAAAUAAAGAUAAUUCAUCUGAAAUACUAUACCAAUUUUAGUACUAUGAGUAACAGAGCUAUCAUCCCAGCUGAAAAUUUCUUAAGUUAUAUUGUAUAGGUCUAAUUUGGUGCCUUCGUGGUACCAUUUGGGCACUUGAGCAAUAACCAUGAAACACAACACCAUUUUGCAGGGGCCCUUGUAUGCUAUAGCCUAUCACAAAGGUAAUAUGUGCAGCAUACAUUCAUUUUCAUUUCAUAUUUUAUAGUGGAAUAGUAUUCCUUUAAUCCUCUUUAUUUGGCAUUGUAGCAGUUAAACGAGACAGCUAGGAGUACAUCUCUACUAAAGUAGUGAAGUGUGCCUAUUCCAUUUAGUGCAAGCAACACUUUUCUUUGUUUAUUGGUUAAUAAGCCUAAACAUGAGCAGUUUGGGAGACAAACAUAUUUAGUACGCAGCAAGAUUCACAAAGUCAAUAAGGGCAUGAGGUCAUAGCUAGCUUUUCCUUCAGUGCAUGCAAUUUUGAAACAUCAUACACAAAGGGAACAGAGGGAGUACCAAGUAUGUCAUUGUCAAGAUUCAAAUAUGCAGGCUAUUUCUUACCUUGGUCUUGGACUGCGGCUUCUGAAACGACCCCUUGGCUUUGGAUUUUCUUCUGUAAUUCUACCCCUAUGGCUGCAAACACAAACAAGAAGGCAAUGCUUAAUAAGUGAAAUUGCUUUUAGUGUUUUGCCAUUCUCUGAGUUGUAUUGAUGCACUUAAUAGAUAGUAAAAUGAUAGUAUCAACAUAUUUUACAUGAUAGCAAGCGGCAUUCUUGAUUAUUGUAAUGGGUGUUUUCUUAGAAAAGAAACAAUAUGAGUUAAACAGGCCAUGUAAUGUGACUUUUGUCCUCUGCUAGAUGUGUAAACAAGUAAUUUGGGUUUGUAUGUCUAAUAGAAACACUCUUACUUGCCAUUUCAAAGUUCUUACUUGCCCAUCUAAUAGAUUUCAGUAUUAGAUGGGCAAAUGCAGUAGCAUUUAGAUUACACAAGAAUUUAGAACUUGGUAAUUUUUGUUACCAUAAUUUUAGUCUAGGACAUGAAAAAUCAGGAAUAUAUUUUUAUUGGAGUGCAAGUUGAGAUAUCAGAAGACAUGCAACUGGUGCUUGCAGAUUCUCUCAUGCAGCUGUAUGCAGCUGCUGCAUUUUGGCUUUAAUAGGUGAGACAAGAAUGUGUCUCUUCCCGCCCCCGUGAAAUAUAGUUAUUACUUAUGACUGUUUAGCUAGCUCCAUGCUCUUAGUUUUAUUGGGCAGCUUCAAUUCUGCAAUGCAGCAUCUCAGUUAAAUCAAGUAUCAAUCAUCCAGUUAAUUCUUGUCAAUUGGGACUUAUGAAUUAUGAUAGUUUUAAAAAGCUAUCUGGUGUAUUUGUACAGGGAAACAUAAGUUUAGUCACAUUCAAUAUUUCAUGAACACGUAGACUUGUGUCGAUUUCAUGUACAACUCUGUUUGGCAUGCCAUUUUCCCUGUGUUGAUUUUGGGAAGAAAGCAAAUUCUUCUGCUACUUGCAUAGUUAGAAGAUACUAGAUACCAAUUGUUUAAUUUGCCUUAUGGCCGUUUGGGCAGCUGCACAAGCAAUUCCUGAGGAUCUCCUUUCUCUCAAGAGAGAGCAACUCGUCUGCUUCUUUAUGGGAAAGCCAGAUUUAUCCGGGCAUUAGGGGUCAGCCAUUGGUUGUAAUGAACAAGGACUAUGUGGCAGCAAUACUAUUUUUCUCUUCAAUUCUAA